rnacentral:rRNA from 1 species
CUGCGGCGUGCUUAACACAUGCAAGUCGAACGCGAAAGGGGACUUCGGUCCUGAGUAAAGUGGCGCACGGGUGAGUAACGCGUAGAUAACCUGUCUUCAUGUCUGGAAUAAUACGCCGAAAGGGGUACUAAUACCGGAUAUUCUUGCUUUUCAUAAGUUAUGCAAGCAAAGGUGGCCUCUGCAUAUGCUACUGCAUGAAGAGGGGUCUGCGUACCAUUAGCUAGUAGGUGGGGUAAUGGCCUACCUAGGCGACGAUGGUUAGCGGGUCUGAGAGGAUGAUCCGCCACACUGGCACUGGAACACGGGCCAGACUCCUACGGGAGGCAGCAGUGAGGAAUAUUGCGCAAUGGGGAAACCCUGACGCAGCGACGCCGCGUGAGUGAAGGAAGGCCUUCGGGUCGUAAAGCUCUGUCAAGAGGAAAGAAGUGUACAAUGGCUAAUACCUGUUGUAUUUGACGGUACCUCUAAAGGAAGCACCGGCUAACUCCGUGCCAGCCGCUGC